UUUUUUUUUCUGCUUCUUCUCUAGUCCCACUAAAGAUUGAGAUCCUUUAAAGCAAACUCAAUGUAAGUGUGGUGACUUCUGCUCUCCAGGCUUCAUGUGGGAGUCAUUGAAACAAAAAGAAGGAAGUUUCCUGCUCUGCUGCUCUGAGAACAAUGGUCCAUGUAUAUGGAAGACACUGCACUACCUCUGUUGAACAUAGAGAAUAAGCCCA
rnacentral:lncRNA from 1 species